GAGGAGGUUUGGGCAGAUGAUAGUACAGUAAAACCUAAAAACAAGUAGUGGGUAUUGUUUCCAGCCGGGCUCUGAUUGGAACCACCUAGAAACCACACCCCCGAAUAGCUUUCCAGCAGCUGAGAAUUCACGGAAGAGAAAAGAGAUGGGAUCAUGCCCAAUGCCACCAGCACAAAGGAUCCAUCUGCCUCCAGAUUAAAAUAAAAAUAGUGAUAAGGUGAACUAGAAGGACAAACAAGCAUAGUUUGGCAAAGUAGAGAAGCAACGUGGCCGAGUGGAUAAAGCACGGGCCAGGGAGAAGGACCUGGGUUCUAGUGCCAGCUCCACCAUUUGUCUGCUGUGUG
rnacentral:lncRNA from 1 species